UAGGCGGAAGCCAGCAGGUUUUGGCAUUUAGCUGUUAACUAAAAUUUUACGGGAUCAAGGCCCGUCUGCCUAG
rnacentral:tRNA from 1 species